rnacentral:rRNA from 1 species
UUUUGUACGGCCCCAAGGGGUCACAAGGCGGAAACCUUUACACUCCACCCAGGGAUAAAGAAAUUCCAAGCCACAGGCAUAACGCCUUUCUUUUCGGUACCGUAAAGAGGGUACCAGAAUAAGGGCUGGGCAAGACCGGUGCCAGCCGCCGCGGGUAAUACCCGCAGCCCAAGUGAUUACCGAUCUUAUUGGGCCUAAAGCGUCCGUAGCUGGCCGCGCAAGUCCAUCGGGAAAUCCACCUGCUCAACAGGUGGGCGCCCGGUGGAAACUGCGCGGCUUGGGACCCGGAAGGCGCGACGGGUACGUCCGGGGUAGGAGUGAAAUCCCGUAAUCCUGGACGGACCGCCGAUGGCGAAAGCACGUUUCGAGAACGGAUCCGACAGUGAGGGACGAAAGCCAGGGUCUCGAACCGGAUUAGAUACCCGGGUAGUCCGGAGAUGAACAAGGUCCCACAAGUUUGGCCCCCCCCAAGGGAUGGCACGGGCCCUACGGGCUGCACAGGAACUACGGAUGGCACAGCCAUUUGCCCGACCUU